rnacentral:rRNA from 1 species
UAAACCUCUUUUCUCAGGGAAGAAGCUCUGACUGUACCUGAGGAAUCUCGCCUCGGUUAACUCCGUGCCAGCAGCCGAGGUAAUACGGAGGAGGCAAGCGUCAUCCGGAAUUAUCGGGCGUAAAGCGUCCGCAGGUGGCGAUUCAAGUCUGCUGUCUAAGCACGGGUGCUUAACUCCGUCAAGGCAGUGGAAACUGAAUAGCUCGAGUGCCGUAGGGGUAGAGGGAAUUCCCGGUGUAGCGGUGAAAUGCGUAGAUAUCUGUAAGACCAUCGGAGGCGAAUGCGCUCUACUGGACGGGAAUUGACGCUCAAGGACUAAAGCUAGGGGAGCGCAUGGGAUUAGAUACCCCAGUAGUCCUAGCUGUGGACGAUGGAGACUAGGCGUAGCUUGAAUCGACCCGAGCUGGACCGAAGCCAACGCGUUAACUACCCCGCGUGGGGAGUACGCACGCAAGAGUGCAACGCAAAGGAAUUGACGGGGCACCGCACAAGCGGUGGAGUAUGUGGUUUAAUUCGAUGCGACGCGCAGAACCUGACCAGGGCAUGACAUGUCCGGAAUCGCGGUGAGAGAUGGGAGUGCAUUCGGGAGCCGGUACACAGGUGGUGCAUGCCUUUCGUCAGUUCGUUUCGUGAGAUGUUGGGUUAAGUCCCGCAACGAGCGCAACCCUAUUCUUUAGUAGCCAGCAUUAAGUUGGGCACUCUAGAGAGACUGCCGGUGACAAACCGGAGGAAGGUGGGGAUG